ensembl:lncRNA
GGUAACAAAGCACUACCACUCCAAAAAUGGCACUAAUUGAGGAGGCAAUUGAACUCACUGAAGAAUUCUUUGGAGAUGCUGAAGAGGAAGCUGAAGGACUGUCAGAAGACGUACAAGAGGAAAUGAAAGCUGAAGUGGCUGAAGCCAGCAGUGAGGUUGCAGAGUUCUCCAAAGUUGCUGAUGCUUUGAAAUCCUUUCUUGAGUUUGCCGCAACAAACAUACCAAAGACCUUGGAGUGGAUGAAGGAGCACAGAGAUGACCACAUUACCCUGGGUGAGAUUGAUGUGCCACUGGAAUCAGUUAUUGCAAAAUAUAUCACACCAAUAUCUGAGGCUGUUGACGAAACCUUCAAGAUCGCAAAAAACCUGCAGUACAAGUUGGAUGGAAAAGUUCAGUUCAAAAUCCCAACUGGAGAAGACAUGAGAGAAAUCCUUACAACUGGUGAUGCAUUUCUCAAAGGAUUCAAUGACCUGGUUGUCUUCAUCUCUGAAAAUGUGCAGAAGAUUGAACAGCUGGCAACCUUUCCAGUGAAACAGGCAGACAUCGACCUUCUUACAACUCAGCUGAAAGAUGCCAAGGACUUACCUUUGUGGUAAAGAGAUGAGAUACUUGAAUUUGUGCUUCAGAAAGGUUGGUUUUCUCCAUAUGAUUAUAAGUCUAGCAAUGACUGCAGUAGUUGAUCUCUGGUUUCUAAUUGGUAAAAAAAUGUAGUGUCAAUCUUUAAGGUCAGGAAAGUUUUCAAUGUUGCAGACCUGUGUUUAAAGUAGAUAUAUAGUGAUUAACUCUUGCAGUCAUCUUAUUCUCCAACCAUUUUUUCCCUCUUCAUUCAUAAUUUACAUUUCACACACUAAUAUCUAAAUCUGUAAAAUAAAUUACAUGCAGCUACCUACUCUAAACUCUUUUACUAACAGCAUUCAGUGUAAGAAAGUGCUUUUUUCUUUUUUAAAAUCCCCGAAAAUGAUGGAGCUGUAGGAGAUAUUGGUUAAUUACAGUUAAUGAGGUGUUGGGUUAUACUGCUGUCUGGAGUUAUGGAUUUGAGGAGGCAGAGCUAUGUUAUGAUAUAAUAUCACAAUGUGUAUAAACACUGCAGCAUGUGUUAACCGAUACCAUGUUAAUCAGUUUUACAGUAAUGUGUGAAUCGUUGUUUUUGCUUUAUAUUAUCAAAUAAACACU